rnacentral:rRNA from 1 species
GACGAACGCUGGCGGCGUGCCUAAUACAUGCAAGUCGAACGCAGUGGGGACGGGUGAGGAAAACGUGGGUAACCUGCCAUCAGAGGGGAUAAAACUUGGAAACAGGUGCUAAACCGAUACUGGUUGAUGGAACCGCGGUGGAUUAGCUAGUUGGUGAGGAAACGGCUCACCAAGGCCACGAUGCAUAGCCGACCUGAGAGGGUGACCGGCCACACUGGGACUGAGACACGGCCCAGACUCCUACGGGAGGCAGCAGUAGGGAAUCUUCGGCAAUGGACGAAAGUCUGACCGAGCAACGCCGCGUGAGUGAAGAAGGUUUUCGGAUCGUAAAACUCUGUUGUUAGGGAAGCGGUACCUAACCAGAAAGCCACGGCUAACUACGUGCCAGCCGCCGCGGUAAUAC